rnacentral:misc_RNA from 1 species
CGCCGCGCCAGGGUCGGCGACCGCGGCCGGGGGGAGGGGCUCGGCUACGAGCUGGAGGAAAGCGCGCCGAGGAGCGAGCGAAGACCCCCCGGGAGACACGCGCAGGCCGAGUCGCCUCAGACGCCACCGACGCAAACACCAACUGAAAGCGGAGCGGGGGGCGUGUCCAGACUGCGACUGAUGUUCGGAGCGAGGCGAGACCUCGCGAGACAGGAGAGCAACCGUUCCGAACCGUCAGCGCAAUACCCGCACUUGCAGUGCCCGCCCACCUUCCAACCGGAGACGUACUCGCUGUCCCGCCCCCCGCGCCCGCGGGACUGACGCCCCGCCUCUUCUGCACCAGACCCGCCCCACGCCGAACAAGGCCCGCCCCCCGCCGUGUAAGCCCGCCUCCGCCGCACAAGCCUCCUACGUGCUCAUGGCGCCUUGGUACUCGCGCUCGCAACACCGGGGCAAAAGCUGGACGUGAGUCUGCCUUUUUUCGGUAACUGUAAAUAAACCCACUGCUGGACAAUUAUCUCUCACUUAUAAAGGAAAGGUUUUCGAAUUUCUAACAUAAACUUAUUGGAGCUUCUAAUACAAAUAAAAAGGUAUACGUAAUGAAUACUAUAAGGUCACGCGCUCUUUUAUAUUUUAGAAAGGCGGUCAGAAAUAUUUCAACGCCAUGCUCAAGGCUAAAAUUACUAAAAAUUGAUUAAAAAUAGUCUAAGUAAGGCAAGGCCAAAUACCUUGUGAAGUUUCAAUAUAAGAAUGUUAAUCUUAUACCAAAAGAAAUGACGAGAAUUUUGAUGUUUCAAAGUUAUCUUGACGAUUCUUCUAAGCGAAAAGAGUAACAAUAAAUUAGCAGAUUUUUUAAAAGUUAACUUCGGCAUGAACAUGUAAAAAAGUAUAAAAUGAUUUGAUAUACUCAUAUCGCUGCACAUUUUAGUACACGACCAAUAAGUUGAACGAAUAAUAAAAUGACUCAAUACAGCGUUUCCGUCAUCAAAAUGAUUUAAAGACACCUCCUCAGCUGUUAUAGUAUCCUGGUACAAUCUAGUUGAAAGGAUAUAAGUUCAAUGGCAAUAAUUAUUUAAUUUGUCAUCAAUCAUCGUUCAAUCUCUAUGAGCUCUUGUAUCGUUAUGAUUCCCUGGUAUAAACAUACGCUAAGCUAUGCGUUAUAUUUCAAAUUAUAUAAUGGUUAUAUAACAUAUAUGUGGAUAAUGUUUUAAAUACUAUAAAAAUAUCUAUUAAUAUAUUAAUUAGCUGAAAAAAUAAAACCACUUUCUAUUCAAUAACGGAAAGUUAAGAUUUCUAUCAAAUUAGAAAUAAAAGUAAAUGAGUUUGAAUGUUAUCGUUACCUCUUCAUAAUCCUAAAUAUAAUAAAGUUAUGACCUCACCUGGGGUCCUAAUAAUUGUUAUAAAAAAAACUGUAAAUCAAAAUGUCUUCCCCUUGUAUAUUUGUAAAAUAUUUUUAUUUUUUUAACGUCGAGUUCAUUGCUUUAUUUUUAUAUUUCAAAAUAAUAACAGUUCCAUCUUUUAAUCACCCUCCAUUUUUAAAUCAAAAACCUUCUAGAACAAAUUCGUUUCAACAAAAUCCUCAGAGAAAAGUUUUGUUAAAUUUUCAUCCCUUGUAUAAAUACUAAAAGUCUGACUUAAAGGUUGUAAAUAUACAUUUUAUUUGACGUUCGUAUAAUCAACCUUUUACUCAAUGUUGAACGUAGUGUAAAUAAAUAAAAGAAAUUUGGAAAAGUCUUUAAAUAUAAAUAAACAUACGUGCCAAGUUAAUUUUGAAUAUAUUUAAGGAGACCCGUGCUAUGUAUAUCGAAGUAUUUAGGGGUUGUUAAUGUAGAUUUGUAUCAAAGCUAUAACAGAGUACUAGAAAUCCAAUGAACUUACGUAGUAAAUAAUAAAAUAUACUUGUAGUUGAAAUGAAACGUACCGUUGUGUCAAAUACCGUCGUGUGAAAAUAUUUUAUGAAUUUAAACUAUGAACUAAACUAUUAAAGAAAAGGUAAGGAUUUGUAUGACAACGUACAUUUGUUGCCUAUAUACUGCAUGCAUUAGAUAAAUAUAAAAUUGAAUAUGAACGUGGAGCUUAUUACAUUGUUUUUAGUUAAUUAUAAUCGCAUGCAAUAAGCUAGUAAUCAUUUGGAUUCAUAAUGUGUUGCUAGGAAAGUACAAUGUUAAGAAACAGACGCUUAGGUGGCAACAGGCUUCUGUAAUUCGUAACUACAUUAUUUAUCGAAACGAAUUCACACUAUUUUAUUUAUGAAAUUAUUUCUACAGGCUGUACUUUGUUAUACAUUUAUUUAUAAACGUAUACAUUUUGAAUCUUUAUUAUACAGAUCAUAAAAAAUUGACGUUUUAAAUAUUUUUAUGGUGAUGUGUGUCAAUAAAAAUAAACUCCAGUAUAUACAUAUUGCAUAUUGUUAGAUUCAUUUCGGAGAUGGUUCGUGUAUAUUUAGUUCUGAGUUUGUGGCAGUUUGUGUCGAAUGGAAGAAAUUGAUUUUUCUCCUACAACAUUAUUUGUAUUUUAAUAUCGUUUGUAACACAAGUACGACUGGAGAAUUGGUGCAAUCGAAAGCAUACGUCCCGUAUUGUACAAGGAUAUAGCGUAGGAUUUUAUUUACCUUAAAAAUUAUAUCGCUCUAGAAAAUUUAAACCAAAUAUAAGUUAUAUAAGUUACAAUCACGAUGUAGGAUACGUUUUUCGACAUUUUAUUAUUAAAAAUAUUCAAAUUUUGCUUCUUAUUGAACGUUUCCGCUUAAAAAAAAUUAAAAUUUAAAAAAAAAUACCACUUACUGAGUUUAUUCGUAAUAGACAAAAAACUCUAUGAUAAGGUGGUUUUCAAAUUUAUAAAUUAUUCUUAAUAUACACGCUAUAAAUUUGCUCAAUUUUGUAUUUAUGUUGCUAUUAUACAAUCUAUAAAUAAUAAUACAUAACGCAAAUACGUUUAGCAGAACUUAGGUAACAUUUUUUUUAUUUAAUUUUGUAAUUCCUAUAAUUUUAUUAAACGUAAGUAAAAUACUGUAUUUUUACUUAUUGUAUAAUACAUAUAAAUAUUGUUGUAAAAUGUUACAACGGAAUAUAAUGUUAGUAAAAUUGUAUAAGCCAAUAUUUCCAACACUUCUGGUGCUUAUAUUAAAUAAAUUCAUCUAACUUUGUUUGAAUAUUUGUAGCUAAGUUUUUUAAAUAUACACGUGUUUUGGUAAAAUGUAAUAAAUCGUAUAAUGUCAAUAGUUAUACAGUCGAUCGAUUUGUCCGUUGUAUAAUACGAAAUUAAAUGGUUUUAUUGAAAGUAUUUUACUAAUUAAUGAAGUGAUUUCUAUCAGAAAAAUGUGUAGAAAAUGUGCUCAAUUAUAUGUCAGACAUUUUAAUAGAUGAAAUUUAUGGAUGUGUAAGUUUUACGUUUAAAUGAUUAUUCUUGUACGCUAUGGCCUCGCAGAAUGUAAUCAGUGUAUUUUAAAGGUAAUUUGUAUUUGUAUAAUUUUAAGUGAUUUGUCAGUUUCUUUAUUCUUAAUUUGUAACCUUUAUUAUUUUUAACGUUAUUUAAAUAUUUUCAUAAGAAUUAUCACUGAGAAAAUUUAUUUUUCUUCUUAUUAAAGUACAGGUGUUGUUGGUAUGAGGUAUUUGAUGUAUGUGAGGUAUGAUUAAUGAGGUUUUUUAAGUUCAAAAAAAAAAAAAAAUCAAUGCAAUAUAGAUUUGAUACCAAAAAAUUUGGUAUUGGUACGUCGAAAGGACACAUUGUUACAUAACUAUACCAUUAUACCUUUCACAUAAAAAUAUAUAAUUAAUCAAUAUUUACAAAACCUAUAUAAUAUUACUCAUACCUGUUCAGAUUUUCCUGUAAACUGUAAAACGAUAGUCGAAAGCUAAAGAGCCGCGUGUGACAUAAAAGUGACGUAGAAAUGACGUUGGUCGGUGAUACUCAGCUUUAUCGUAGCUAGAAAAUAUAUUAUAUAUGAACAUGUAUAUUUUAUAUAUAUAUAAUAUUUUUAUUGUAAAAACUGCUCAAGCCGUCACUAAGAAAAUUUCCGUAGGGUUUAUCGACUAAUACUUAAUAUUUGAUAGGUCAUGACGGAAUUGAUAAAUGUUUAAAAUUAUAAUAGUGUUGUCCACUAAGGAGAAUAUUUAGUUUCAAAAUUAUGAUAAAAAAGUCUUUUAUUGAUGUGGACUUCUUUAGUCUAUAGUGAACUAUAUAAUGCCUAUGUAUUUUAUAAAUAUAUUCUUAUAUAUUAUGACUAUUAUUAUGUAAAUUGACUUAUCGCAACUAGUUCGUAUAUAAAGUGAGAAAAACUUGGCUGUAUAUAAGACGUGACUUUGAGACGUAACAGUGAGAUGACGGCUUAAUGUCUAUUGGUAUAUAUUAUGUAUUUAAGAAAUAAUGGUCUAGGGAAAUGUUUUUACGAUUGACAAAUUCUUCUGUAAAUCAAAAAAAUGUUAUAAAAUUAUACAUUUACAUACAUUUUUAUACAUUUGAAAGAAUAUCGAAUCAGUACCUUCUAGGCGUGGGUAGUGUAGAGACCCUUUGUACUCUUUGAGUACUUUAUGCUGUGUCACUAUUUAUCGACUGUGUGACUACAUUUUUUUGACAGUAAAAAUCGCUAAAACAUUUCGUCUAGCCUAGUAAUCAUAAAAAACGUUGAUGUAUUUAAUAGGUAAGUAAAUAAAUGUUCGGCACAAAAUAUAUGUAUGUGUUUAUAUUAAAACUACAUUAGCCCGCGGGUGUACUUUACUCUACAUUGUCGAACUUUAUAUAAAAAAGUGUGCGGUUAACCGCUAUUGUGAGUACUUUCUCGUGUCAUAUGUGUAGUACAUGAUACUAAAGUGUAAUACUGUUGCAUAAUUCUAUGUCAUAUGGACCUGUUUCACCGUUUUUGAUAUAUCAUUCGUUUUAUUACCAUCGAAUUCCGCUAUUUAUUAGAUAUUUAUAUUUUCAAAUAUGAAUAUAAAACUCGUAGCUUAUUAAUUGUGGAAAAGCAGUUUCUAUUAGCCUAUGAAAGCUCCUGUUGUUAGUCUUCGAAACUUAUGAGCAGGAUCAACUUUAUUCUCAAACGAAGAAACCGGGCCAAUCUAUGGGAUACUGUCGUCAUUUGUAAAAAUUUAAACCUUAGAUUUUGUCGUUGAGGAAAAUUUUUUAUUUUUAAAAACUAUAACCUCGUUUAUUGAUGUAUCAGAGGUUUAAACUUAUACAAAUUAAAGGUUGGUGCGCCUUGUAAGGCCUAUUUUUUUUAAAAGUACUUGGAUAAGGAAAAAUUUGGAAAUAAUUUAGAAAAACAAACUAUCAUAAUAUUUGUAAAUACAAUCAACAUACAAAUUGUCAAUUUUAUUAUAAUUUCUUUGAAAAUCUAAUGGCUUUUAAAAAGCUCUAAAGUGGACCUUUUUAGAAACAUUGGUACUUAUCAUGGCCAAAAUUAAUUUAUUCAUAAACGUAAUACAAACAAAAUAUAUGCAUGUACGUAAAGCAUAACCUAUGAGAUUCUUAGGUAAUCAGUCGGUUACAGUAGUUUUUUGUUUGUAAAUUGGACAGUGGACCAACUUAGGUCUUUACUCUUCCUACAAACUCUCUUAAAAAACACUUGUAAUGUUAUUCUUAUGAUAACUUUUAUAGAGAAAUUAGAAAUUAAAUAGAAUUGCAUUAAAAAAUCUUCAUAAUGUCGGUGGGCCUUAUUAAGAGUAUGGAAAAAACGUUGAAAUAGAAACGUCUGUUUUAAUAUUAUGCUUUUAGUUACAUUCUGGGCAUAAAUAUUCUUCUAUACCUUCUAUACCACAAAUACCAAACAAUACAUUGCAUUACACAAUACAUUGUCGCAUAUCUGCAUGAAAGUAGCUACUGUCUCGUUGCGACAAAUAGCUUUUUGUACUGAUUCAAUAGCUGAUUUAAGCUCUUGCACAUUCCGUUCACCGCGAUUUUUCUUUUUGGUUGAUUCCAUUUUGUACAACCUGAUAAAAAAUAAAUGAAACUUGGUAGGUAUCGACUUAUUUUUAAAGUAAGUUUCAGUUGUCUACUUCAAUACUAGUUAGUAACUUUGUCUUACAAAUAGCCACAAAUAUUCCUAUAGUUUCUUAAAUGUUCCAAAGAAACUAUGAUUUUUUAAGAUCUAUAAAUCUUGGGUCAUCUUAGAAGCCCUUGUAGUGGGCCUUAAAAGGACUUUACCAGAUAGUUAAACUGACACUUACCUUCUCAGUAGUGGCCAUAAGUGUAAGUAACUUUGUAUUUAAAAAGAAACACGCAGUUUUUUUUUUUUUCUAAUAAUAUAUAUUUUUUCUAUAAUAUAAAACAAGUUUGUAAACAUGAGGUUUUAAGCCGCCAUUUGCAAUUUCAUUGACAAACUGUUAAUCACUGUGAAGAUGGCGCCUUUGUUCUUUUGAUAUGAAUUUGCAGUUGUCGAUAGUAUUAACCGAGCAUUGGAGCGAUAUUUGAACUAAUUCGAACUCAUAAAAUAUAAAAUAUUGAAAGUGAGGCAUCUUAAAAACAGGGUUAUUUUGGGCGCAAGUACCUCGUGUAGUUUAUAUUUUUAUAAAAGGUCUGUAAGUAAUGAAUGUUUACGACUACUGUGUAACGUAUACUGCGACGUGUAUAUCAAGUUAAAUUAUAUAUAUCACACUGUUCAAUUAUUUACUCAAUAAAUGGAUUUGAUACAAGCGUUCGUUUUAUUUUUUUAUAUAUUGAUUCUGCCUUACUGCUUUUUAUGUAUAGAACCACGCUGACAAAAUUGUAUCUUAACCGUCUCCAAAAAGAGGAGGUUCUCAAUUCGACUACUUUUUUU